GAUGAAGAACGUAGCGAAAUGCGAUACUUGGUGUGAAUUGCAGAAUCCCGUGAACCAUCGAGUCUUUGAACGCAAGUUGCGCCUCAAGCCAUUAGGUUGAGGGCACGUCUGCCUGGGCGUCACAUAUCGUUGCCUGAUGCCAGUUUCCUCGUGAUGGGUGACUGUGCAGGGCGAAUGAUGGCUUCCCGUGAGCAUUGUUGCCUCAUGGUUGGUUGAAAAUUGAGUCCUUGGUAGGGAGCGCCGUGAUAGAUGGUGGUUGAGUGACGAACGAGACCCAAUCAUGUGAGACCCCUACCGAAUUUGGCCUUCAUGACCCACAUGCGUCUUUGGAACGCUCAUGACGAGACCUCAGGUCAGGCGGGGCUACCCGCUGAGUUUACGCAUAUCAAUAAGCGGAGGA
rnacentral:misc_RNA from 1 species